GACGAACGCUGGCGGCGUGCUUAACACAUGCAAGUCGAACGGAAAGGCCCUGCUUUUGUGGGGUGCUCGAGUGGCGAACGGGUGAGUAACACGUGAGUAACCUGCCCUUGACUUUGGGAUAACUUCAGGUAACUGGGGCUAAUACCGGAUAGGAGCUCCUGCUGCAUGGUGGGGGUUGGAAAUUUUCGGCGGUUGGGGAUGGACUCGCGGCUUAUCAGCUUGUUGGUGGGGUAGUGGCUUACCAAGGCUUUGACGGGUAGCCGGCCUGAGAGGGUGACCGCCGACAUGGGGACUGAGAUACGGCCCAGAGUCCUACGGGAGGCAGCAGUGGGGAAUAUUGCACAAUGGGAGGAAGCCUGAGGCAGAAACGCCGCGGGCGGGAUGACGGCCUUCGGGUUGUAAAACGCUGUCGCCUGAGACGAAGCGGGAGUGACGGUAAUGGGUAAAGAAGCACCGGCUAACUACGUG
rnacentral:rRNA from 1 species